rnacentral:rRNA from 1 species
GUGGGGAAUAUUGGACAAUGGGCGCAAGCCUGAUCCAGCCAUGCCGCGUGUGUGAAGAAGGCCUUCGGGUUGUAAAGCACUUUUGUUGGGAAAGAAAUCCUGUCGGCUAAUACCCGGCGGGGAUGACGGUACCCAAAGAAUAAGCACCGGCUAACUUCGUGCCAGCAGCCGCGGUAAUACGAAGGGUGCAAGCGUUACUCGGAAUUACUGGGCGUAAAGCGUGCGUAGGUGGUUCGUUAAGUCCGAUGUGAAAGCCCCGGGCUCAACCUGGGAAUUGCAUUUGAUACUGGCGGACUAGAGUGCGGUAGAGGAGAGUGGAAUUCCCGGUGUAGCAGUGAAAUGCGUAGAGAUCGGGAGGAACAUCAGUUGCGAAGGCGGCUCUCUGGACCAGCACUGACACUGAGGCACGAAAGCGUGGGGAGCAAACAGGAUUAGAAACCCGAGUAGUCC